GGUGAAAAUAGCUCAGUUGGUAGAGCACGGGUUUGUGGAGCCAAAGGUCGAGAGUUCNAAUCUCUCUUUUCACC
rnacentral:tRNA from 1 species